CAGGGACUGAAGGGUCUACCAUGGAAUGUUAGAACUAGCAAGAUUGCCACCCACCUGGCUGCUUGUUUAACUGCUGUCAGUAUGUAGGCUGUGUCUCCUGAAGCCAAGCUGGCUUGGACUUAUCAAGCUGAGGGUGAUCUUGAACUCCCAGUUCCUCCUCCUAGCUCCCUAGUCAUGCAGGCAUGCACUUUUACUUCUGGUUUGUGUGGCGCUGGAGAUCACAUCCACUCGACUGAGUUACAUCCACAACACACAUGGCACAACUCAUAAGUGAAUCUUCUCAGAUAGAAGGAAAUCUAGAGUCAGGUGUGGCUACAGAAACCUGCCCCCAGAGGACUUUCCAGGUACUGGCCCCGUGGGGGGACUUUCACUUUGGUCAACACCCCAUUUUCAGAUGGAGACAAGCAGAGGGGCUUGCUUAUAGACACAUCGAAAAUAAUGGAAGUUGGACUCAACCAAAUGCUCUCUCUGGUUCCAGGGCCUGUGCCCAAUGAGAGACAGUGAACAGAGCAGAUGGCACUAAGGAAAGACGUUGUCCUCGGACCUCCCCAUGUGUGCUGUGGUGAGCAGCCCCCGAUAAACACAUGCAAUUUAAAACAAAAUAAAACCCACAGACGAGCCAUGAAGAA